rnacentral:rRNA from 1 species
AUUGAACGCUGGCGGAAUGCUUUACACAUGCAAGUCGAGCGGCAGCACGGGGGCAACCCUGGUGGCGAGCGGCGAACGGGUGAGUAAUACAUCGGAACAUGCCCAGUCGUGGGGGAUAACACUUCGAAAGAAGUGCUAAUACCGCAUACGUCCUGAGGGGGAAAGCGGGGGAUCGCAAGACCUCGCGCGAUUGGAGUGGCCGAUGUCAGAUUAGCUAGUUGGUGGGGUAAAGGCCUACCAAGGCAACGAUCUGUAGCUGGUCUGAGAGGAUGAUCAGCCACACUGGGACUGAGACACGGCCCAGACUCCUACGGGAGGCAGCAGUGGGGAAUUUUGGACAAUGGGGGCAACCCCGAUCCAGCCAUUCCGCGUGAGUGAAGAAGGCCUUCGGGUUGUAAAGCUCUUUCGGCAGGAACGAAACAGUGAGCUCUAACAUAGCUUGCUAAUGACGGUACCUGAAGAAGAAGCACCGGCUAACUACGUG